AUACGUAGGGAGCGAGCGUUGUCCGGAAUUACUGGGUGUAAAGGGAGCGUAGGCGGGACUGCAAGUCAGAUGUGAAAUACCGGGGCUUGACCCCGGAGCUGCAUUUGAAACUGUGGUUCUUGAGUGAAGUAGAGGCAAGCGGAAUUCCUGGUGUAGCGGUGAAAUGCGUAGAUAUCAGGAGGAACACCGGUGGCGAAGGCGGCUUGCUGGGCUUUUACUGACGCUGAGGCUCGAAAGCGUGGGUAGCAAACAGGAUUAGAUACCCUGGUAGUCCACGCUGUAAACGAUGAUUACUAGGUGUGGGGGGACUGACCCCUUCCGUGCCGCAGUUAACACAAUAAGUAAUCCACCUGGGGAGUACGGCCGCAAGGUUGAAACUUAAAGGAAUUGGCGGGG
rnacentral:rRNA from 1 species